UCUGAGCUGAAAAGGGUAAUACUUAUUAGGAAACCUAUACCCUUUGGCGGCCUCAUUUCUUAUUAAAGGAACUUGUCCAUUAAUCGAAAUUACCCGAUCGUUUUCUCUUCUGUCUUGUUUUUAUACCGUCGUCUUAAGAAUAUUGUCAAAUAAAUUAUUCUAAACUGAAUACCCGGGGAAGUCAGAUCAAGGUGAAGCUUAUACAGAAGUCCUGGGUGAGUUAUGCAUAAGGACUACUAAGGGACUUCUCUUUAAAAAGUUAUUCAAAUUAAGAUUUAACAGUACCCAAAGAUUAAAAAUUUUUAGGGAAGAAGUAAAAAAAGGUGU
rnacentral:rRNA from 1 species